GACGAACGCUUGCGACGUGCCUAAGAAAUGCAAGUCGAACGGGGUUGCCUUCGGGCAGCCUAGUGGCGAACGGUCGCGUAACACGUGGGCAACCUGCCCUGAAGCGGGGGACAACGGGGGGAAACUUCCGCUAAUACCGCAUGUGAAUUGCUCCGGCAUCGGAGAGGAUUCAAAGCCGCAAGGCACUUCAGGAUGGGCCCGCGGCCUAUCAGCUUGUUGGUGGGGUAACGGCCUACCAAGGCGACGACGGGUAGCUGGUCUGAGAGGACGAUCAGCC
rnacentral:rRNA from 1 species